UACGAAGGGGGCUAGCGUUGCUCGGAAUGACUGGGCGUAAAGGGCGCGUAGGCGGAUGGCAUAGUCAGAUGUGAAAUUCCCGGGCUUAACCUGGGGACUGCAUUUGAUACGUGUCGUCUUGAGUUCGGAAGAGGGUCGUGGAAUUCCCAGUGUAGAGGUGAAAUUCGUAGAUAUCUGGAGGAACAUCAGUGGCGAAGGCGGCUUCCUGGUCCAACACUGACACUGAGGUGCGAAAGCGUGGGGAGCAAACAGG
rnacentral:rRNA from 1 species